GGGUUGUGAGGUUAAGCGACUAAGCGUACACGGUGGAUGCCCUGGCAGUCAGAGGCGAUGAAGGGCGUGCUAAUCUGCGAUAAGCGCCGGUAAGGUGAUAUGAACCGUUAUAACCGGCGAUACCCGAAUGGGGAAACCCAGUGUGACUCGUCACACUAUCAUUAACUGAAUCCAUAGGUUAAUGAGGCGAACCGGGGGAACUGAAACAUCUAAGUACCCCGAGGAAAAGAAAUCAACCGAGAUUCCCCCAGUAGCGGCGAGCGAACGGGGAGGAGCCCAGAGUCUGAAUCAGCAUGUGUGUUAGUGGAAGCGUCUGGAAAGGCGCGCGAUACAGGGUGACAGCCCCGUACACAAAAGCGCAUGUGCUGUGAGCUCGAUGAGUAGGGCGGGACACGUGGUAUCCUGUCUGAAUAUGGGGGGACCAUCCUCCAAGGCUAAAUACUCCUGACUGACCGAUAGUGAACCAGUACCGUGAGGGAAAGGCGAAAAGAACCCCGGCGAGGGGAGUGAAAAAGAACCUGAAACCGUGUACGUACAAGCAGUGGGAGCCCCACCACUAAGCCAGUGGUGAACUCCACAUACGCAUCCUUUGCUGAGGAUACGGUUAACGGAGCGAAAGCGACGUUCAACCUCAAAAGAAGCAGAGGGGGCUUAGUGGUGGGGUGACUGCGUACCUUUUGUAUAAUGGGUCAGCGACUUAUAUUCUGUAGCAAGGUUAACCGAAUAGGGGAGCCGGAGGGAAACCGAGUCUUAAUUGGGCGUUAAGUUGCAGGGUAUAGACCCGAAACCCGGUGAUCUAGCCAUGGGCAGGUUGAAGGUUGGGUAACACUAACUGGAGGACCGAACCGACUAAUGUUGAAAAAUUAGCGGAUGACCUGUGGCUGGGGGUGAAAGGCCAAUCAAACCGGGAGAUAGCUGGUUCUCCCCGAAAGCUAUUUAGGUAGCGCCUCGUGAAUUCAUCUCCGGGGGUAGAGCACUGUUUCGGCUAGGGGGCCAUCCCGGCUUACCAACCCGAUGCAAACUGCGAAUACCGGAGAAUGUUAUCACGGGAGACACACGGCGGGUGCUAACGUCCGUCGUGAAGAGGGAAACAACCCAGACCGCCAGCUAAGGUCCCAAAGUCAUGGUUAAGUGGGAAACGAUGUGGGAAGGCCCAGACAGCCAGGAUGUUGGCUUAGAAGCAGCCAUCAUUUAAAGAAAGCGUAAUAGCUCACUGGUCGAGUCGGCCUGCGCGGAAGAUGUAACGGGGCUAAACCAUGCACCGAAGCUGCGGCAGCGAC
rnacentral:rRNA from 1 species